rnacentral:rRNA from 1 species
GAAGUCAAGCUGCGUUGGGCACGGUUAGUACUUAGAUGGGUGACCGCUUGGGAACUCCGUGUGUUGUUGGUU